rnacentral:ncRNA from 1 species
UAAAGACACAAUGUGAUUUAUUCCCAUUGCUCUGCAUGUCAAAGUGAAGAAAUUCAACCAAGCAUGGGUAAACGACGGGAGUAACUAUGACUCUCUUAAGGUAGUGAGAUUCCUCGUCAUAUAAUUAUUGAUGCGCAUGGAUGGAUCAUUAAUGUGAUUACCCACUAUCCCUAGCUACUAUAUUCUAGAGAAACCACAUCCAAGGGAAUGGGCUUGGCAGAAUUAGUGGGGAAAGAAGACCCUAUUGAGCUUGACUCUAGUCCUAACCCAUUCAUAUUUUGGAACAAUUAGGGCAUAGUUUGGGAAAAUUAGACCAUAACAUUUGUUUUUGGGAGU